UACGGGGGGAGCAAGCGUUGUUCGGAUUUACUGGGCGUAAAGGGCGCGUAGGCGGUCGUGACAAGUCACUUGUGAAAUCUCCGGGCUUAACUCGGAACGGUCAAGUGAUACUGUCGGACUAGAGUACAGAAGGGGCAACUGGAAUUCUCGGUGUAGCGGUGAAAUGCGCAGAUAUCGGGAGGAACACCAGUAGCGAAGGCGGCUCGCUGGGCCAUUCCUGACGCUGAGACGCGAAAGCUAGGGGAGCGAACAGG
rnacentral:rRNA from 1 species